rnacentral:rRNA from 1 species
GCCAGCCCGCUCAGAAACUUAAAGGAAGUUGACGGGGCCCGCACAAGCGGAGGAGCAUGUGGUUAAUUCGAUGAUACGCGAGGAACCUUACCUGGGCUCGAACGUAAGAUGACUGUAGGUGAAAGCUUACAUCUCUUCGGAGCAUUUUACGAGGUGCUGCAUGGUUGUCGUCAGCUCGUGUCGUGAGGUGUCGGGUUAAGUCCCAUAACGAGCGCAACCCCUACCUUAGUUGCCAUCAGGUUAAGCUGGGGACUCUAAAGGAACUGCCUACGCAAGUAGUGAGGAAGCGGGGAUGACGUCAAAUCAGCACGGCCCUUACGUCCAGGGCUACACACGUGCUACAAUGGCCGAUACAGAGGGCAGCUACCUGGUGACAGGAUGCAAAUCUCCAAAGUCGGUCUCAGUUCGGAUCGGAGUCUGCAACCCGACUCCGUGAAGUUGGAUUCGCUAGUAAUCGCGCAUCAGCCAUGGCGCGGUGAAUACGUUCCCGGGCCUU